CCUACGGGGGGCAGCAGUGGGGAAUAUUGGGCAAUGGGCGCAAGCCUGACCCAGCAACGCCGCGUGAAGGCAGAAGGCUUUCGGGUUGUAAACUUCUUUUCUCAGGGACGAAGCAAGUGACGGUACCUGAGGAAUAAGCCACGGCUAACGACGUGCCAGCAGCCGCGGGAAUACGUAGGUGGCAAGCGUUAUCCGGAUUUACUGGGUGUAAAGGGCGUGUAGGCGGGAAAGCAAGUCAGAUGUGAAAACCAUGGGCUCAACCUGUUGCCUGCAUUUGAAACUGGUUUUCGUGAGUACUGGAGAGGCAGACGGAAUGCCUGGUGUAGCGGUGAAAUGCGUAGAUAUUAGGAGGAACACCAGUGGCGAAGGCGGUCUGCUGGACAGCAACUGACGCUGAGGCGCGAAAGCGUGGGGAGCAAACAGGAUUAGAUACCCCUGUAGUC
rnacentral:rRNA from 1 species